GACUACCAGGGUAUCUAAUCCCGUUCGCUACCCACGCUUUCGUGUUUCAGUGUCAGAAAUGCGCCAGCUUACUGCCUUCGCUUUUGGUGUUCCCCAUGAUAUCAACGGAUUUCACCCCUACACCAUGAGUUCCGUAAGCCCCUCGCACUCUCAAGUCUUGCCGUAUCCUCCACAGCUCUUAGGUUGAGCCCAAGAUUUUAACAGAGGACUAACAAAUCCACCUACACACCCUUUACGCCCAAUGAUUCCGGAUAACGCUUGGACCACUCGUCUUACCGCUGCUGCUGGCACGAGUUUAGCAGGUCCUUAUUCAUGAGGUACCGUCAAUUCGCAAAACGAACUUCUUCCCUCAUAAAAGGUGUUUACGUCCCUAAGGACUUCAUCCACCACGCGACGUCGCUCCGUCAGGCUUUCGCCCAUUGCGGAAGAUUCUCGACUGCAGCCCCCCGUAGG
rnacentral:rRNA from 1 species